ACAUCCCCAUGUCCCAAAUGAAUUAAUACCAUGUCAUGCCUAUAGGAGAAGUGUACAGAAGUCAGAACACAAGAUGGGAGUACUUAUGGAUGGAAUGAUAUCAAAGGAUGCAGUGUUGGGGUUCAUCAAGCCACCUGUGGAGAGGGGGUCAUAGAUGAAGUAAAACAGUCUUUGAGGUCGACGACAGGUACCUAAGGAUUUGUAUAUUUCUCUCUACUUUUGUAUAGGUCUGGAUUCCUCCAUAAUAAAAGUUAUAAAAGAGACCAGGGGCUGUAUCUAUCUCGGUAGUUGGCUACUUGCCUAGCAUGUGUGCAGCUGGGUUCAAUCUUCAGCAACGCACAUGCUCACAUUCAUCAUCACACACUGCCUGGUGAGGGAGGAGGAAGAGCUCAUGGCUACUCCCUGCCCCUUGUCUCCUUGGUGAUCCUGGGGGUCGGUUUGUCUCCAUGACCACUGCACCUUCACAUUCCAAUACAGACAAUGUGUGCUGUAGAUUCAUCAGAGGUGCUCCCCCGGUCAGCGUUCAGAGUCCAUAAAACUCUGCUAUUUAUCCCAGCUGUGCAGUGAGAGGCUAGCCCGGGACCUCGAAGACUGACUCCUCAACCUGUCAGUCUGCCCCUUCUCGCUGGAGCACCUAUGAAGGUAGCAAGGUGUACGAAAGUGCACAGCAGACACAGGAAGCAUCUUGGCCCAGGAUGAGCCGCCAGCCCAGAGGGAUUUAGGAUGCUGAAGAUUUCACAACACAGAAAGCACCGGCUCUGAGAAGUUGUUCAGCCCAGAUACAUCUCCAGCACAAACCCACGCCUAAAGCUCAGGGAAUAUCAUAGUGGACAGAAGGACUUGAACAGCCAAGAAGACCUGGACAUACAACAGGAGAGUGGCACCCACGAAAUCUCAGUAAUAUGAUUGUCUAAACAAGACCUGAACAAUGGCACCAGAUGACAUAAAUGAAGGAACUUUUAGGGACCUCACCCCUAGAAGAGCCAUAGGCAAGUUAUGACUGAUGAGAAGGAGAAUUAGUUUUCCCCAGGGAUGUGCCCACUAAUUGAUUAGCUAAUACUGGGUUGUUAAACCUAAACAUAU
rnacentral:sRNA from 1 species